rnacentral:rRNA from 1 species
UACGGGGGGGGGCAAGCGUUGUUCGGACUUACUGGGCGUAAAGAGCGCGCAGGCGGUCGAUCAAGUCGAGUGUGAAAGCCCCCGGCUCAACUGGGGAGGGUCAUUCGAUACUGAUCGACUCGAAGGCAGGAGAGGGUAGUGGAAUUCCCGGUGUAGUGGUGAAAUGCGUAGAUAUCGGGAGGAACACCAGUGGCGAAGGCGACUACCUGGCCUGUUCUUGACGCUGAGGCGCGAAAGCUAGGGGAGCAAACAGG